GUUUCAGUUGUUGGCCUUCUAGAUAACAUUGUGGCUGAAAAUGAGGUUCUCCCGGAAAAAUCCAUUUGAAAAUGGCAGCCUUGACUCUUCUAGCCUCACAGUUGUCCUGGGAGGCCGGGCAACGGCCAGAAUCUUCUUUCAAAUGGGGAAAGGAAGGCGCAAAGGGAAAGAGUGACUUGUGCAGUGGCUGGGAUCCAGGAUCCAGGGUGCUCUGGCCUCCAGCCCUGUGAGAGCUCGCAUGGGACCAGACCAGGCCUAGAGGCAGCACCAAGGCUCCUUGGCCUUUCUGCCCCCCAUUAGCCCACAUCCAGACUUGGAGUCGGCCUGGAAUCCAGGCCGCACCUCCCAGCAGCCGCGGAGCUGGGGGAAGCUGAGCACGGUGCACUGGGCAGCCCCAGCCUCUGCUGACAGUAGGCGGCUCCCACUCCACCAGGUCCAGCCUGCGCGGUUGGAGGGUCUGCUGAAGCGAGAAGCUGUGGAGAAGGCAGCGGGAGCUGGCUGGGGGCAUCCACUUUGAAACGUGUUCUGAUUUCCUUUGCCGCUCACCCCUAUCUCUGGCAGGCAGCUUUCCCAGAUUAGCUGCUGACGUCAGGAGCUGCCAGCUGGGCCAGCCUAGCACGCGGGAGGUGCAUGAGGGCUGUCUGCUAGAUGGGGACAGUUAAGGAGGGGGCAUGUGUUUAGCUUUGGAAAUUUGUCCUCCAGGGAGCUGGGAGGUGAGAGGGGGCGCUGCCUUGUGCCAGGUACGCACUCACUGUGUACGGCACUGUAGAGAAACAGCUCGGGGAGACAGAGGAAUCCGCCCAAGGUCACACAGCUGCUCUGACCCUGGCUGCAUCCCACACUGUCGUUCAGCAGAACGGUUGACAGUUGCGAGGCCCGGAGCGCUCGUGUCCGUGUACCUUGUACACCAUCGCCACAAGGUGCUGAGUACCUGAGGCUGGUGUCCCGUCCACAGAGUUGCCAUCAAGUGUAACUAGAGGAGCAGUUCCCUGUCUUUCUACCAGUUGUACAACACUUUUGUGUGUUCAAACUGCUUUUGAUCUGAUACUUGUCCUUCCUCAAUAAACCGUGAGGUAAGCGGGUAGGAAUUCCUUCCAUCUGACAGGUGAGGAACCUGAGGCACAGACGGGGUAGGUGACUUGGCCCUCACCCGGCUGGUGAUGCAGGGGUGCCAGUGGUGACCUCAGGCCCCUAGGCCAACAUCCAUACAGAGGAAACGCGGGGGUGGGGGAGCACAGAAAAGACAGCCCCACAAUUCUCGUCUCAAAAUAUUUAAUUUUGUUUUGAAAAGGUUACAUUCCCGGCUUCCCUCCCGCCACAUCACCCUGGCCCACCAGCAGUGACACACUCGCACGCACACACGCACAUAAGGCCAAUGGGUUAUGGUCUGCUUCUGCCCUCGCCAGCUGGGAAGAAGGAAUUUUCUCCUUGCCUCCUUCCCCCAACACAGGUGAGAAAGAGAGGCCCACUGGAAUGCCAGCUCCCAGGGGGGACGCAGAGCCCCACACACUCUUACCACAUCACAUGCACUAGAAAAAUAAAACCAAGUGGUGUUCUGGCACCCCAACACCGUAAGACAGCAGUAUCCACCUGGGAGUCAUCUUUGCCGUUUUCUAGAAAAAUUUAUUGCACUUAAUUAACAGAUGUUAAAGGAGCUUUGGGGUGGGGCUUUGCCAUGGAAACCAGGGGCCCUCGGCUGGCUCCCUGCCUGCCACCCCGCCUCAGGCUGGAGGACUGUGGGAGCUGCUUGGCCAGGGCCACACGCCCCUCGGCAGGAUGAUGCUGACCCAGGCAAGGUCCACUGCUAAGCGCCCCCCCCCAAGCCGCAGGACCCAGACAGGCACACCCCUCCUUUGGCCAAGGGCCAGUUAGCCAGGUCCUCCACUGGCCAUCAUGAGAGCUCUCUCUCUCUGAAUAUAUAUAUUUCUCUAUCUAGAUACACAUUUAUUAUAUGUAUAUUCUUGCAACAUUCUAGCUCAUUCCUGAUUUGUCUGUUCUGAGGUUGCACUGAGGCUGCCACGAAAGUGAACACAGGGCGCUUAGGAAGGGUUGGCAAACCCCAGCCCACCGCCACCCACGAAAAGCCGCUCAUGUUGGCUUCUCUGGCCGCCAGUGCUUUUCAGCAGGUGUCCAAGACCUGAGCACAGGAGCCCGUCUUUGGCCGUCGGCCCCAAGACGGAGAGCAUCCAGGAGAC